ensembl:lncRNA
CUCCUCUCAGUUAUACACAGCUUGCUUGCUUACCUGCUUGUGUAUUAUAUUAAAGAUUUUCCUUCUCAGUUUGACAUUUUGAACUCCAGGGAACAGCAAACCCAGGUUGUGUAAAGUCAGUAACUGGAGAUCUGAGUCAGCUCUCAAACCUGCCUCUGAAAGAGCAGAUCUGUUAUUGAUCAAGUAGUCUCCUGAUUAUACAAAUUAAAGUUAUUAUUGUUCGUUGUUGUCACGGCCAGGCGGAUCAGCUGCACGCUGAUCAGCACUCUCUCUGUUUCUCUCUCUUCCUCUCUCUCUCCGCUUCUCUCUCGCCAGGGCGGAACUCACUGUGGGUUCACGCCCUCGGCCCACGCCCUCGGGAGAUGAGACACCUGGGUCUCAUUAAGGUGAUCAGCAUUUAAGCCAGGAGGUGACUGCUGUUCGUCGCUGGAUCGUUGUCUACCACGCAGCUCCCUGGAUUUUCCCCCGUGUGAUUCCCGUGUGGCAGUGUCGGAGUGUGAGCCUGUGAUCGUGUGAGUGGAUAUUCUGAAGAACGCGUGCUUUCCCCUGGACUUCCCUGGAGACCCCUUCUCCCCUCACUCAGCUGUAUAUAGCACCCCCCGCACAUUCUUGUAUAUACACCUGGUGCAUUGUAAAUAAACCCUUCUUGUGAGCAUCAGAACCGGAGUCCUGCGCUUGAGUCCUCCUCCAAACCGUAACAGUUGUUGUGAUUUGGCGCUGUAUGAAUAAAACUGAAUUGAAAUAACAUUCAAUUUGUGGUUCUGUUGGCUUUUUUCUUGUUAGGUUGCGGCAAAAACGACAGUCCAGUGGUUUCUAUACUCAUUUGUUGCAACAACGGAGCCUACUCACUGUAACUAUACAUAUAUAUAUGCAUAAAUAUUUACAUCUUAU